rnacentral:rRNA from 1 species
UGGGGAAUAUUGCACAAUGGGCGCAAGCCUGAUGCAGCGACGCUGCGCGAGGGAUGACGGCCUUCGGGUUGUAAACCUCUUUCAGUAGGGAAGAAGCGAAAGUGACGGUACCUGCAGAAGAAGCGCCGGCUAACUACGUG